GAGGUGGUGGAGGAGGAGGAGGUCCAGCUCCAAUUUUGUUAUUCUCCUUCAAAGGUGGCAUUGGAGGAGGUGGUGGUGGAGGAUGAGGUCCAGCUGCAUUGGUGUUAUUCUCCUUUAAAGGUGGCGUUGGAGGAGGUGGUGGUGGUGGUGGAGGAGGAGGUCUAGCUGCAAUGGUGCUAUUCUUAUUUAAAGGUGGUGGUGGUGGAGGAGGUCCAGCUCCAAUGGUGUUACUCUCCUUCACGGGUGGCGUUGAAGGAGGUGGAGAAGGUCCGGCUCUAGUGGUGUGAAUCUCCUUCAUAGGUGGCGUUGGAGGAGGAGGUGGGGUUGGACAUUCAGUUUUGAUAGUGGAAUUAUUUUCCUUAAAAGGUGGAUGCAGUGGUGUUGUUGGAGC
rnacentral:lncRNA from 1 species